rnacentral:rRNA from 1 species
AUUGAACGCUGGCGGCAGGCCUAACACAUGCAAGUCGAACGAGUCGCGGGCGUGUGAGUAAUGUGGGGGACACUCCCUGCUUGAGGGGGAACACUACUGAAACCGGUAUAAAAUCCCGCAUACCAUCGGGUGUGCCCAGAUGGGAUUGGCUAGUGGGUGGGGUAAAGGCACACAUAGGCGACGAUCCCUAGCUGGUGUGAGAGGAUGCCCAGCCAUACUGGAACUGAGACACGGUCCAGACUCCUACGGGAGGCAGCAGUGGGGAAUAUUGCACAAUUGGCGCAAGCCUGAUGCAGCCAUGCCGCGUGUAUGAAGAAGGCCUUAGGGUUGUAAAGUACUUUCAGCGGGGAGGCGUUACCUGCAGAAGAAGCACCGGCUAACUCCGUGCCAGCAGCCGCGGUAAUUC